AGCGAACGCUGGCGGCAGGCCUAACACAUGCAAGUCGAGCGCCGUAGCAAUACGGAGCGGCAGACGGGAGAGUAACACGUGGGAACGUGCCCUUCGGUUCGGAAUAACUCAGGGAAACUUGAGCUAAUACCGGAUAAGCCCUUACGGGGAAGGAUUUAUUGCCAUUUGAGCGGCCCGCGUCGGAUUAGGUCGUUGGUGAGGUAAUGGCUCGCCAAGGCGACGGUCCGUAGCUGGUCUGGGAGGAUGACCAGCCUCACUGGGACUGAGACACGGCCCAGACUCCUACGGGAGGCAGCAGUGGGGAAUAGUGGACAAUGGGCGCAAGCCUGAUCCAGCCAUGGCGCGUGGAUGAUGAAGGCCCUAGGGUUGUAAGGUCCUUUUAACGGGGAAGAUAAUGACGGUACCCGUAGAAUAAGCCCCGGCUAACUUCGUGCCAGCCGCCGCGGUAAGAC
rnacentral:rRNA from 1 species